GGUUGUGUUAAGCUAUUCGUGGCUGGUAGUUGAAGGCCCAAGUAGUAACAGUUAGAAAUUCCAACUUUUAGCUGUCUAGUUAUGAUUUUGAACUGUUUACCACUGAAUGUGAAAAUGCUGUUCCAAUUACUACGUUUGGCAAAUACCCCAAAUUAGAUGUUGAGAACAAAAAUGCCAACCGUUGGUUCCCAAUCACUCUUCCAAACAGA
rnacentral:misc_RNA from 1 species